AAGUGUACCGACUUUCCGGUAUUCAGGAAAUUGGAACUUGAUGUUUAAGCAAACACUUAGUGUAAUGGCUAUGGAUUCCUGCUGGGGAAGAAAUAAUUGACCAAGUCCACGGGACCGCAUGGCGUCGAGGAUACAAAUGCGUUUUUGGUUACCUUUAGCAGUUUUUGAAAGAAAUGUAAUUCGAUGUUGUUUCCCUUUAAAGUUUU
rnacentral:lncRNA from 1 species